AUGAGGUCCUGCGUGAGCAAAGAUAAUGGGCUGUAUGUUCCAUUUAUACACAAUUCAAAGAGAUGCGGAUUCACUAUGGCGCUACAGCUCUGCCUUUUGCAAAGGGCAGUGAGUGUGAUGCUGGCCGUGUUCUCUACCUUGGCCUGGGGGUGGGACUGGGUAAUUUCACUUUGCAGAAAUUCAUCCAGCUCAUAUACUUGUAAACCUAAGCGUGCAUUUUUCUGCACAUGUUAUCUAUUUUUUUUUUUUUAGUUUACUUUGUAAAAGGUGGGUAAAAUCAAAGAUUUCCCCCAAAUAUUCCUGUCUAGGACCUUAAGAGUAGGGACAAAUUUCCAAGAUGGCUGUGGGACGUUUUUUGAGGGGGGGAUUCCGGCCCACUGCCUCCUUCUUAACCAAGCUGGCAACUGUGUGGUGGCGUGAUGCUGAGUCCAGGUGGCUUUCUCCGCUGUGAUUCCCGCUUCGUUAUGCUGCUCUUUCCCGUGCCAUGUGUACACACUCAUCGACCUGUAGCAUCCUAGAGAAUCAGGAAGGUGGGUGUUCUGGUGUCCUCUUUAGGGAUUGGGCUACUGAGGAGUAGGGACUUUUUUAAGGGCACAAAGCCAGUGAAUGGCUCACAAUCAGGACUAAGAGCAGGUGAUGCCCGGCGCUGUCCUCACUGAGAGAGGUUCUGAGAACCAAACGGACUUUUGAGGAGAGGCCUCAUUGUGGCAGAAAUCCUGGAGCACAAAGGGUCUUGACAGCCACUACCUGGAUCCACUAGAAAGUGAGGGUGCUUGUCGCACCCCCAUCAGUCACUCUGGGGACCUCAUUAUUCUGCUUGUUCUUUUUACGUUAGCAAAUCUCCUGUGAAGGUCUGUUACAAAGACAUGUCUUUCCUGCAUUUGCAUCACAUUCACUUUGUGAUUUUGUACUUGCAAUCCAGGAGGCAGCAUUCCAGAAAGGAGAAUAUGGUGUAUGAAGAAUCCAGUGACACCCUCAGUUAAAUCCACAUGGCACAAAGAGGCAGCUUGUUCAGAGGACUUGGAAGGCCAGCUUAUGAAACCCACACAACCGUGGAGGUAGCAUGUUAAAAAUACUCUAGAAAAAAUAGGGAAAUAGGGGUCUCAACGUGUGUGUGUGUGUGUGUGUGUGUGUGUGUGUAAGGUUUUGCUCUGCAUGCAGGUUGAAUGCAGUGGUGCAAUCAUAGCUCACUGCAGCCUCCAUCUCCCAAGUUCAAGCAAUCCUCCUGCUUCCACCUCCUGAGUAGCUGACUACAGGUGCAGGCACUACCACACCCAGCUGGUUUUUCAAAUUGUUUUUAUUUGUAGUAGAGGCGAGGUCUUGCUGUUAACCCAGGCUGGUCUCAAACUCCUGAGCUCAAGUGAUCCUCCAGCCCCAGUGUCCCAGAGUGCUGGGAUUAGCCACUGUAUUUAACCAGCAACACAUUUUAAAUGCUUUCCUCACUGAUUUGUUUGACUGCGAUUUCUUGAUUGACCAGCCACUCUGGUCUCCUCAGCCAACCCCUCA
rnacentral:lncRNA from 1 species